AUCGAGCCACACCACAUGCCAGCCGCUGUUCUAAGCACCAGGUUGUGAUGAACAAGACAAGCUCCAGCCCUGGAAACACAAGUGGGAGAGAAACCAACGAGCAAGAAGCAAACAGUGGACCCAGAGACAAACAAAGACCUCGCUACCUAAAAGUUAAGCUGUGGCAUCAGAAAGUGCCUUUGUUCUUUGCUCCUGUUCUGCCAAACACAAAAAAAAAAAGAAGAAGAAGAAAGAAGGAAAGAAAGAAAAAUCGAAAGUGCUUCACUUCCUCUUCCCUCAAGACCCAACAUGACAAUCCCAAUUGCCCUCCAGAGACCUAGCUGCACAUCAAACAAGCAGCAGAGUCUUCAGAAGGCAAGAAGGUGUCUCUCCAAGGCUUGGAAACAGGACGAGAGCUGGGACCCCAGGGGAGCAGGCGUCAGACCAGCCUCCAAGGGCCUCCGAGAGCCCACCUCAUACAACACCCUCCCCUGUCCCCACCUCGCAUGGGAGCAGAUCAUUGAACUUCCU
ensembl:lncRNA